rnacentral:lncRNA from 1 species
AGAUGGAAAUGCGGAAAUCACCGUCUUCUGUGUCGCUCAGGCUGGGAGCUGUAGACCGGAGCUGUUCCUAUUCGGCCAUCUUGGCUCCUCUCCCUCUUUAAAGUGAUUGCUCACUGAUGCCUUAUCUAGUUCUCUUGGUGAGGUCAUGUUUUCCUGGAUGGUCUUGGUGUUUGUGGAUGUUCAUCAAUGUCAGGGCAUUGAGAAGUUAGAAUGUGAUUUUGAAGAAAGGAGGAAAGAUGUGAAAAGUGAUUGGUCAGCCACAUUCAUGGUGUUGAGAAAAGAAUUUGCUUUUCUGGAACAUAGCCUGUGAUAGCAGAACAACACCUGGCAAGAAACAGGUUAUGUUUGGCUGGAGAGUCAUUGGCACUAUCAAGAAAUAUUAAAGUGUAGAUUUGAGAGAGGAGGAGAAAGACCCAAGCAAAAUUGAAAACCAGGUGGGACCCAGACAGCAGCAAAGCAAUGGAAGCAUGUAUUUUGGUCAAUAUAGAGUUAAUACACAAUUUUGCCCCUCUUCUUCUGAUCAUGGGACUCAUAUUACCAGUCUUCACAUUUCCUUUAAAUUCAGGAAUCAGGAAGAAUUUCCAGAGUUUGCAGAUGGACACAUUUGCUGCUUCCAUUCUAAACAUAAGUUAGAAGAACCUUUCAACUGGAUUCCAACUUUAAUAUGUCACAAACAUAAAAAAGAAAGCUAUUUCCUGGACUUUUCUUCAUUAGAAAUUAAUAGAUUGUCAAUUGGCAUAGGGAAAAGAUAAUCAACAGAUGCCAACCCCAAGUUAACAGAAAUGCUAAAAUUAUAAGACAAAGACUUCAAAAUAGCUAUUUUAAUUUUGCCUAGUGAGGUAAAUGCAAACAUGCUCACUAUGAAUGAAAACAGGUAAUCUCAGCAGUCAUGUAAACUAUAAAAAUAAGCAAAUAUAAAUUUUAGAAUUAAAACACAAUAUCUAAAAAUAAAUUCACCUGAUAUUCUCAAUAGAAAAAAUGGUAAUGCAGAGAAAAAUGUAUGAAAAUAUGGCAAUUUGAAGAAGAGAGAAGAGAUCAAUAAAAUAAAUAAGUAUAUCCUUGGAGACCUGUGGAUGUUUUUUGAAAAGUGAAUCAUGUAAGUAAUUGAAGUCCCAGAAGAAAAGAAAAGAAGAGGAUGAGCAGAAAAAAAAAAAAA